CCUACGGGGGGCAGCAGUGAGGAAUAUUGGUCAAUGGCCGCAAGCCUGACCCAGCAACGCCGCGUGAAUGAAGAAGGCUUUCGGGUUGUAAAGUUCUUUUGUCAGGGAAGAGUAGAAGACGGUACCUGACGAAUAAGCCACGGCUAACUACGUGACAGCAGGCGCGGUAAUACGUAGGUGGCAAGCGUUGUCCGGAUUUACUGGGUGUAAAGGGCGUGUACCCGGGUUGACAAGUCAGAUGUGAAAUCCUGCGGCUUAACCGCAGAACUGCAUUUGAAACUGUGGAUCUUGAGUACUGGAGAGGCAUACGGAAUUCCUAGUGUAGCGGUGAAAUGCGUAGAUAUUAGGAGGAACACCAGUGGCGAAGGCGGUCUGCUGGACAGCAACUGACGGUGAGGCGCGAAAGCGUGGGGAGCAAACAGGAUUAGAUACCCUUGUAGUC
rnacentral:rRNA from 1 species